GAUAGGGCAGGAGACUCUAGAAUAAGAGUUGGUAGCCAAUAGUUACCCAGUAAUUGCUUUGGGCCCUUGAUUGCUCUCCUCGAGUUGGACCUUUUUCUUUCUCCCUUUUCUCAUUCUCCCCAUUUGCUUUCUGUCUUUUUGGGGAUUUCUCAGACAUAGUGCCAGUGAGUUUGGGCAAUUGAGUCAGCUCAGAUCCAGGACUAAAGAGGAUUUCAGAAGGACACACUGCAGAACAAUUGGAUUAUCAGACCAGGGGAAUGAUGGAUCUUGACUUCACUUCAGAGGAAUGAUGGUGAAAUGUAGCCUCCUCUUCCCACCCCUUUAAACCAGUGGAAGGUGGUUAAGGUCCACAUUUUGGGGAGCUAACUUGUUCAGAGGGGAAGUGACAUCACCUACAUGGUUCACUCUACCACAGAGAACUUUGAGAGGAUAGGGAAGGAAUGGGAGUGAUCCGUGGCCCAUGUCACAAUAUCAGGCAGAUGACUCAAGAGAAGCCCAAGACCAAGCUGACGUUACUGGACAUUCUUGCCCAUCUCAUGGCCUCCCUGAUGAAUGUCAUGACUGGAAGGCUGUUGUGUUCCACCAAGGGACUCAAGUCAUAAGAGAAAAUAAAAUCAAGCCAUACUUCCUG